rnacentral:tRNA from 1 species
GCGGGUAUGCCGGAGUGGUCAAACGGGUCAGGUUUAGGACCUGAUAGCUUAUGCUUACUUAGGUUCGAAUCCUAAUACCCGCA